ensembl:lncRNA
AUGACUUUGGGCAACGUGACUUCCUUCCUUCUUUUGGAUGCUGUAACUUCCACUGAGCCAAAUUCAGGUAGAGAAAUUGUUACAAUGACUACGAAGAUUUUACUGAGAAAACAGACACGGGAUGGGAACAUGAAAGCCAAUACCAGUUUGGCACUAGCAUCUUCAUGCAGAAUGGAAUUCAUGCACAAAGACUUUCACAAGAAUGGACAAAAGAAUUCUGUAAAGUGUCAAGGUCGGGACUGGAAAAAACCACUGCUUGCAAGCCCAGAAUCUGAAACCAGCUUUAUAACAGACUUUAACAUAUGAUGACAUGGAAUACCUUAAAGCCCCCAAAGGCAGAAGUCUACAGUCUUUCCUUCUGACUUCUAAAAGCGCCUCAUGGAACAGUCACCCAAGUUUCACUGGAAUGAGUUUCAGGUGAAUGGUGUACAUGGAACGCCUACACGUGCAGGUCUGCAAUAGCCAGUAACACGUUUGAGGCCUAACUGUAAGGUAAAAUAUAAGACAAUAUGGUCAUUAUGUCUUUUUCAGAUAGGACACCCCCACCCCCACCCCAUGAAGCAGUCAAGAGCCUUUUGAUCAAUAAUGUUCAAUCAGAAAAAUUAGGUGGUCAUGGGUGUAUCGGGGAUUACCUCACACAUGGGGAACAUAUCUUGGUGUCUGUGAUUCUACUAGCAAACACCCUUCCCACACUCACCUCAGACUUUUCAUAACUCAAGUGGUUGGGGUUCAUCAGAUGUGCGAUAGGUUCUGACCUCUCAAUCCAUUGAAGAAACGUCAGAGUCUCAGUAUGGUGGGUUAAGAAUUACGCUGAAGAACGCCAGUGUUAUUCCCAGAGUGGCUGGAAAGCCCAGAGUGAGUCCCCUGGGAGCUAGUCCUCGCUGUAGAACGCAGAAAGCCUACUUGUAGCUGGUCUGCAGCCUCUUCCUUAUCCUCGUGACCUGUUCCCUCAUGGUCUGUCAGCGGGUUUCUGGGUAUGUCAUUAGUUUGUUUUACUUCCCUCUAGUGCGGGUUUGGAAGGUGAGGGGAGUAGUAUAACUUCAUAUUCAAAGUCCUAACUCACUGGGGUCUCCUCCUCUAACUGCAUCUGUGGAGGUCAUGAUCUCAUGUCACCAAAAUCAAGGCCUUGGGCUUCUUGAUAUAAAAUCCAAGAUUAAUAUAUGAAAUUACCUUAUUUUUCCUCUUAAUAGGUAAACAAGACUUAAAGCAAAACACAUUAGCCUUUUCAUUUAUCACAGAUAAAAAAAAAAAAAAGAAACAAAAAAGUAUCUAUCAAACAAUAGUUUUGAUUACCUUCAAGCUGGGUGUAAUUUCAUCCCUGAGCUAAGUGAGUAACAAAUACUGCAGCUCUUCUACUGGUAAAGAAAGGCAACACUUCAUUAUUUAUACGAAUUUCUUAUUAAACAUUUUAACAAACUUUUCAACUUUAUAUCCUACUACUCUCUUCCAGGUACCUGACCACCUGCAGUGCAUUUGUUUGCUAACCAUGUCUAACACACUCCCAUUUUUGUGCCUUGGUUCUACUCAUUUCUUCUACCAAAGAUGUAUCCUUUGCCCCACCACAGUGCUCUUAGCCCAUCCAAAUUUUCAUUCACUUGGGACUGUUCAACACUGCAUCCUGAAGUUAUAGUCUGCCUGCCUGAGGAAGUAAUUAAGAUUGCACAUAAUUACAGGCAUACCUCAUUUUAUUGCAUUUCACAGAUAUUGCGGGGAUUGUGUUUUGUUUUUUAGAAAUUGAAGUUUUGUGGCAAUCCUGUGUCGAACCAAUCAGUGCCAUUUUUCCGGCAGCAUUUGCUCACUUUGUGUGUGUGUCACACGUUAGUAAUUCUUGCAGUAUUUUAAACUCUUUCCUUAUGAUGAUGAUCAGUGAUUACAGACUCAUUGAAAGGUCAGAUGAUGGUUAGCAUUUUUUAGCAAUAAAGUAUUUUUUAAAUUAAGAUAUGUCAAUUGGGGUGUUUUUUUCCUAGAUGUAAUGCUAUUGCACACUUAAUAGACUACCGUAUAGACAUGACUUUAAUAUGCACUUUUUGGUAAAACAAAAAAUUGAUUUGACUCCCUUUACUGUGAUACUCACUUUAUCCCAGUGAUCUGAAACCAAACCCACAAUAUAUGAGGUAUGCCUGUAUCUGCUAAUAAUAUUAUAGAUUUAUGAAUUUGGUAUGGAGUUGCUGUAUAUGAGCUCAAAGAUCCUAUAUAGAUCUAAAAUGUUUUAUAAUUCUAUAAUCCCCUUAACAUAUGUAAUGUGGGAAAAUGUAGAUGAUUUUUAGGAAAGAUAGAAAAAAUAUUUCAGAUGUAAAUGCUGUAUUU